UACGUAGGGUGCAAGCGUUGUCCGGAAUUAUUGGGCGUAAAGAGCUCGUAGGCGGUUCGUCGCGUCGGCUGUGAAAUCCCGAGGCUCAACCUCGGGUCUGCAGUCGAUACGGGCGGACUGGAGUUCGGCAGGGGAGACUGGAAUUCCUGGUGUAGCGGUGAAAUGCGCAGAUAUCAGGAGGAACACCAAUAGCGAAGGCAGCUCGCUGGGACGUUACUGACACUGAGGCGCGAAAGCGUGGGGAGCGAACAGG
rnacentral:rRNA from 1 species